AACGAACGCUGGCGGCAGGCCUAACACAUGCAAGUCGAGCGCACAGCCAGGGGAGUGGCGGCCGGGUGGGUAGCGCGUGGGAAUAGGCCCUUUGGUGCGGAAUAGUCUUGGGAAACUGGGGGUAAUACCGGACACGGGCUUUGGGGGAAAGAUGGAUCGUCGAAGGAUUAGCUCGCGUGGGAUUGGUGGGUUGGUAGGGUAAUGGCGUGGCAAGCCGACGGUGCAUAGCUGGUUUGAGAGGAUGAUCAGCCACACUGGGGCUGGGACACGGCCUAGACUCCUACGCAAGGGAGCAGUGGGUAAUCUUAGACAAUGGGGGCAGCCCUGAUCGAGCCAGGCCCGGUAAGUGAUGAAGGCCGUAGGGAUGCAAUGUUCUUUCAGCUGGGAAGAUAAUGACGGUACCGGCAGAAGAAGCCCCGGCUAACUCCGUG
rnacentral:rRNA from 1 species